rnacentral:lncRNA from 1 species
CUCAAAUGGCAAGUGCCGGAGAUGAAUUUGCCUACAAAACUCGCAACGGCAAUAUGAUCAAGGAGACUUUGGAUUGCAAUGUGAUAUGAUUGGUUUGUCUCAAAUAACUUCUCAUUUGCAUUUUAUACUACUAUCUCAAAUUAAUUAUCAAUUAAUUUAUUUAUUUUCUUUUAACAGAUUAUUAUUAUAAUUAAUAUUUAAUAUGACAAGAUAGUAUCUUGCCUUUCUUUAUUAUAAUGUCAUAAUUUUUUUGAGAGGAAUUAUAAUGUCAUAUUAUCAUAUAUUGAUUCUAACUUAAUUAGUAAGUAAUCUUUAUUGGAGUCAUCCAUUUUUAUUUUUUUUUUUAAGGAUGGAGUCAUCCAUUUGAAAGGUACUGUAAUCAUGAUCAAAUAAAAUAGAUGUUCCAUAGUAGAUUCCAUAAUUAGUCCCAUAAUAGAUCUAAGAAAAAUGUUAACCGGUGCCUACUAGUGCCUUGGACACUGGUUAAGAAAUUAUAAAAGGAAAUAUUGUAUUGGAAAUUGUGCAUUUCACUUUUUGAAAAUUAAAAAAAUGUUGUUUUUAAUGCAAAAUUUGAUUUUUCUUUCUACUUUUAGUUCCUUAACCAGUGCCCGCCCCCGGGGCACUGGUUAACAAGACCCUAGAUCUAAUUAUCUUUUAAGUUGUUGGGAUACCUUAGGCAUCUAACAAGAAUCAAAGAUCCUAACUCUGAGGUGUUAGUAAAAUAAAGAAAAAUGAUAUUUGUACAACCAAUUUUUAACAAUUUUUUGACAAUUUUCUCUCUCAUACUCACAUUACAUUCUUAUUAUCUCUCUACCUUUUUCUCUCUCUAUUGAUUUUGACCAAUCAAAAUAGAGAAAAACAAAGUUGUCAUGGAAGUUGUUUAGAAAAGCUGUACAAAUAUCACUACUCUAAAAUAAAAUAAAUUUUUUGACCAAAAGAAUAAAAUAAAAUAAAAAUUUGAUUGUAACAUGGACUCCCAAUUUUCUAACAUCAGGAAUGGAUUCUCUCAAAAAGAAAAUUCUCAUGUAUUUUUUAUGUUUUAUGAUUCUCUUCAAAAAAAAAAAAUCAAACUCACUUUUCUUUUUAAAAUUCUUUUUCACUCUUCUUUGCAAUCGAUGGUGAAGAUUUCAACCGACCAAGAUAUCAUAUGAGAGGAUCCAUUCUUCUAACAUCAAGUAUUUCACGGGUAUUCUAUAUAUAUAUAUAUUUUAUUUAUUUUUUAUCCCCAUGAGCUUAGCUCAGUUGGUAGGGAUAUAAUAUAUUAUAUGCAGGGACUAGGUUCGAACCCUGGACACUCCACUUCUCCACAAUUUAAUUGUGUGAGUUCUAGCCACUAGGCUACUUGACCAAAAAAAAAAAUUCUAUAUCUUUUUAACGGAAUUCUCGUUAAUUUCUUGUUCAAUGCAUUUAUUUUAUUUUUUAUUUUCUAAUAUCAUUCAAUGCAUUCAUUUUUACACAAAUAAUUAGACUUUCUAUAUACAUGGUUAGUAUACCAAAAUUGUGAAUGGAAAUAUUAAAAAUAUCACUAUCGCAAUUAAUUUUAUCAUUAAGAAACGUAUCAAACAAUUAUAGUAGACAUAUUACAAUAUAUAUAUUUUUAAUUAAAAAAAUAUUCAAACAUAUCCACACAAAAAUUUCAGACAACAAUUGACCGCGAAAUUCUAUAAAAUAAAAAAAGGUAAACUGUUUCGAUUGACAUGUAAUAUACAUAAAGUCAGAAAAAUGAUCCUAUAAAAAUAAAAACACAUAUUCUAACUCUUCAAUUUAAGAUUCUUCUUAUUUUUUUAUUCUCUAGUCUACUUGAAGCUUAGAAAAGUGAUAUAGAGGUUGAUUUUUUUAUUUUUUUUUUGCAGGCUUAUUUAUGACGUUAAAAUAUGAUUUUUCAUAAGAAAUUAAAAAAUUUCACUAAGGAAUGAUUAAUUGUGAAUUUUCGUUCCCCAUAAUUAAAAAUUUCUUAAACAAUUCAUUCUAAUUCAUACUUCAUUUUAAAACUCCAAAAUUUUAUGGUGAAAGUUUAUAUAAUGUUCUAACCAUGCUUACAAAAUUUGAUUUGAGUGUAUAUGCUUACUAGAAACAAAAUUGCAAUUUUGCAUAUUUUGUUUGAAAAAUUAAAAUAAAUCAAGACAUCUUAGAAAGUAUAUGAAACUUUUCAUAUCAUUUUCAUGUAUUUUAUAGAUGUCUCUGCAAACAAUCUUCACAAAAUUUUAUUUAUAGGUCAAGAUUUCCGUUGUUUUAUUUUUUGAGUUUUUGACGCAUUAAAGUGUUAGAUGAAAUGCUUGAAUGAGGUUUUCAUUGAUUUGUUUCAUUUUUUAUGUUGUGUAAAUAUGGUUGACAGACACAGGCUAGGCAAGGAGAACAUGACUGAUAGCUUACGCAUAGAGAGACAGGCGGCAAACCCUAUGCCUAAAUGGGGACAAGGGUGUAUGAAUGAUGGGGAGGGAACCUCACAGACAGGUGUGUCUCAGGUUAUUGACCUUCUCAAGACCAGUACUACGUAACAGAUGAGCAGUACUAGAAUCCUAAGGAGGAGCACUACCCUGACCCUACUCAAGAGUAGUACUAACAGAUUAAGCAUAAUCAUGAGGAGCCUGAGUAGCAUGACGCACCGACACCUAAUGUUUUUCUUGGGGGCCUUUUUUUUAUCUAACUUUAUUGUUGUCAUUCAUUAAUCAUGUUGCUUACAA